GACGAACGCUGGCGGCGUGCCUAAUACAUGCAAGUCGAACGCACAGUUUAUACCGUAGCUUGCUACACCAUAGACUGUGAGUUGCGAACGGGUGAGUAACGCGUAGGUAACCUGCCUGGUAGCGGGGGAUAACUAUUGGAAACGAUAGCUAAUACCGCAUAAUAUUAAUUAUUGCAUGAUAAUUAAUUGAAAGGUGCAAUUGCACCACUACCAGAUGGACCUGCGUUGUAUUAGCUAGUAGGUGAGGUAACGGCUCACCUAGGCGACGAUACAUAGCCGACCUGAGAGGGUGAUCGGCCACACUGGGACUGAGACACGGCCCAGACUCCUACGGGAGGCAGCAGUAGGGAAUCUUCGGCAAUGGACGAAAGUCUGACCGAGCAGCGCCGCGUGAGUGAAGAAGGUUUUCGGAUCGUAAAGCUCUGUUGUAAGAGAAGAACGGGUGUGAGAGUGGAAAGUUCACACUGUGACGGUAUCUUACCAGAAAGGGACGGCUAACUACGUG
rnacentral:rRNA from 1 species